AAAGGCCUCCACUAGGAAUGCACGGUGCGCUUUACCACUCUGAGGUUGCUGGUUCGAUCCUGUUGUUCCUUUGCCGGCUGGGGAUGGGAGUCCACAGGGCUGUUUGACCACCCCUGACCUACAGUUAUGCAUUUUAAAUUGGGUACAUUCUUUAGUUUGCUUUUUACUCUAUGCUAUAUUCUUCUUAUUUGUGGUAGGUUAUUGUAAGAACAACUCGACAGGUUAAACAGCUGAGGAAAGGACUGAAAGAGACAUUGGUCUGGCCUCUCCUGAAGGAAAGAAGUUAUAUUAUUCCACUGAUGUUUCCAAGGGCCUCUGACACACUAUACACCCCCCAGAUGAUCCUUGAAAGAAUCACCUGGCCCACACUGAAUGUGGCGGAAGAUGAUGAUGAUGAUGAUGAUGAUGAUGAUGAUGAUGAUGAUGAUGAUGAUGAUGAUGAUGACUGUUCUCUUGAGACUAAAUGCCGUAUCACAGGCUUCUUCAGGACAUUCAUUGAAACGCAUCACCAAGAGUGCUGAUUGAUCUCCUCAGAUUCUGGGUUGGAUGGGAGGUCCUCCCGAAGGAGCUGUCUGUUGAGGUCACAGAUACCAAACUGCCCAAAGCAUCCACCUGCUUCGAAACCAUUAAACUACCCAGACACGACUUUCACUACUCAUCAUUUGAGGAGGAUCUUCUUUCCUGUAUACAUACUGUGGACACCGGCUUUGGACUUGUCUAAUUUAGAAUUCCGCCAUGAGAAAUCUGUUUGAACUCCUUCAGGGGCCAAUUAAAAUAUACAACAUAAUUGAUUUGACAACUAGAAAUAUAACAUGACAAAGUAAAAAAAAAAACAUCCAGGUUAAUGUUCUGCUAUAUUAUUAUUAUUAUUAUUAUUAUUAUUAUUAUUAUUAUUAUUAUUAUUAUUAUUAUUUAUUUCUUAGCAGAUGCCAUUAUCCAGGGCGACUUACAGUUGUAAACAAAAAUACAUUUCAGGAAUCACAGUACAAGUAAUAAUACAAUUAUGUAAAUACUAAAUGUACUAAGAAAGAAAUUCAAAUGAACGACUGGCAAUUUUAUUAGGCCAUUUUAUUAUUUUGAUUACAAUAAAUAAUGCACUGAUUCUCAAAAUGUUUCUUUUUGGGGGGGGGGGGGGGAACAACACUUUUUUUUUUCUUUUAAAAUACUUGCUUAUGUUUGUGAAAACAUCUGUUAAAUAUCAACAUAAGCACAGGUACUAUUGUCAUUUAUUUAACAAAGUCAGUGCUAUGCAGACUCAGUGACAAAAAAUACAGCUGUCCCAAACAAUAAAAACAAUCGUCAAA